CUUGUGGAUCAAGGAAGAUUUCCUGGAGGGCUCACAUUUGAAGCACAUGAGACCAAGGGAGAUGCAUUGUUGACAACAAAAUUGGUGGGUCAAACAUUUCAAACAAAUAUGGAUAAGAUUUGGACAUGCCUAAUGCAGGAUGAGGUCUUAAUCAUUGGCAUUUAUGGAAUGGGGGGAGUGGGGAAAACAACCUUGGUGACUCAUAUCCAUAACAAACUUAUAGAAAAUCCAAACACUUUCGAUCAUGUUUUUUGGGUCACAGUAUCACAAGAUUUUAGCAUUCAUAAAUUGCAGAAUGAUAUUGCAAAAAUACUGCAUCUAGACCUUUCAAACGUGGAUGAUGAAAAGAAACGGGCGGCAAAAUUGGCCCAGGCUUUGAUGAGAAGACAACAAUCUGUACUCAUUUUAGAUGAUGUAUGGAAUCAUUUUGUUUUAGAGAAGGUGGGAAUUCCUGUCAGAGUCAAUGGGUGCAAAUUGAUUUUAACCACGAGAUCAUUAGAUGUGUGUCGAAGGAUGGGUUGCCAAGUUAAAAUCAAAGUGGAGCCCCUUUCAAAGGAAGAAGCUUGGAGCUUAUUUUUGGAGAAAGUGGGGAACGAAAUUUCACUUUCUCCUGAAGUAAAAGAUAUUGCAAGGUCUAUUGCAAAAGAAUGUGCAGGUCUGCCACUUGCCAUAACUGUACUGGCUGGAAGCAUGAGAGGAGUGGAUGACAUCUGUGAAUGGAGGAAUGCAUUGGAGAUUUUGAAAGAAUCAAAACUGGGACAAGAUGACAUGGAAACUGAGGUUUUUCAAGUACUGAGAUUUAGCUAUUGGAGCUUGAAUGAUUCAAAAGUGCAACAUUGUUUUCUAUACUGCUCACUAUAUCCUGAAGAUUGUAAAAUUAAAAGAGAGGAGUUGAUAGAAAGGUUUAUUGAUGAAGGUUUCGUUGACAGAAUGAAGAGUAGGCAGGUAGAGUUUGACAGGGGUCACACUAUUCUGAAUAAACUUGAAAAUUCUUGCUUAUUGGAGGGCAUUAUAGACAAUUUCCCAAAUGAGAAAAAGUGCGUCAAGAUGCGUGAUUUGGUUAGGGACAUGGCACUUCAAAUUGUGAUUGUAAGUCCUCGAUUCAUGGUAGAAGCUGGCGUUGGGUUGGAGGAUAUACCAGAUGAAGAAAAAUGGACAAAGGAUCUUGAGAAGGUUUCUUUGAUGCACAACAAAAUAUCUGAUAUUCCUUCUAGUUUAUCACCAAGGUGUCCUAAACUUUCAACAUUGAUGCUUCAACAUAAUAGUCUAAGAAGAAUACCAGAUUCUUUUUUUGUGCAUAUGCAUGGUCUUGAGGUUCUUGAUCUAUCCUAUAAUGGCAUCGAAUAUUUGCCAAAUUCACUCUCCCACUUGGAGAAUCUUACAUCAUUGUUGCUUAGAGAAUGUGAUAAAAUAGAACAUGUCCCUUCGUUAGCAAAGCUUUCUGCUUUGAGGAGGUUGGAUCUUUGGCACACAGGAAUUAGUGAAGUACCUAAUGGUAUGGAAAUGUUGGUCAAUCUCAGAUACUUGGAUCUCUAUGCACCCAAUCUAAAGAUGUUGCCUGUUGGGACUUUCACUAAACUCUCUCAUCUCCAAUAUUUUGUUGUUUACCGGUCAUCUGAAACAUUGAAAGUGAAUGGAGAGGAGGUAGCACACUUGAAAAGAUUGGAAACUUUUAGCGGACAAUUCAGUGAACUCCAAAACUUUAAUGCAUAUGUCAAAUCCCUAAAAGUGGGAGGACCUAGCAAUUACCUACUUCAAAUGGGAUUAGAUGAUCCAGAUGUCACACCAAUUGAAUGCGACACCUUUGACAAACGUGUAAUCUUAAAAAGGUGCAUUUUAAUUACAAGUAGAGGUGGAGGAGAAUAUUCCCUUUUGCUCCCAGAAGAUAUUGAGUUCCUAUAUAUUCAAGAGUGCAAUGAUUUAAGAAGUUUAUGUGGUAUUUCAUCAUUGAAAAAUGCCAAUAACUUGAAGGCCUGUGUAAUUAAGAAGUGCAAUAGAGUAGAACAUGUGUUAUGUGACAGAGCUUUAUCACAAUCUCCACCAUCAGGCACCUUAGCCUGUCUCAAAGAAUUUAGAAUAUAUAACUAUCCAAAUAUAAAGAAGUUAUUCAUGCCUAGGUUGUUGAUGUGCCUCCAAAACUUGGAAGAGAUUCACGUAGAAGAUUGUCGCCAAAUUGAAGAAAUAGUGGCAGCAGCAUCUGAUGAUAAUGAAGUAGAAGAAAAUAAGGACAAAGGCCUUGGCACUACCAUAUUCACUCUCCCCAAAUUAAGGUGUUUGCAAUUGUGGGAUCUACCACAAUUGAAGAGCAUCUGCAAUGAUAAUGCAGUACUAGUUUUUGAUUCCCUCCCAAGAAAUAAUAGUACGCUAUUGCCGGAAGCUUAAGCGGAUCCCUCUCUCACUGCCCCUGCUUGAUGGUCAACCAUCCCCACAUCCCUCUCUUCAAAUAAUAAAAGCAUUUCCAGAACAAUGGUGGGAAUCACUGGAGUGGGACCAUCCCAAUGCCAAGAAUUUACUUCAACCCUUUUGUCAAUUCACACGAUAUGUGUAACAUCCCCAUGUUGAUAAUUUCUUUCUUUCCGUCACACUUUUAUUUGUAAUUUAAGAAAAAUUUCCCCUUAAGAAUUUUAGACCAACUUGGACAUGUGUU